rnacentral:rRNA from 1 species
CUACGGGAUGCAGCAGUGGGGAAUAUUGCACAAUGGGCGCAAGCCUGAUGCAGCAAUGCCGCGUGAGGGAUGAAGGCCUUCGGGUUGUAAACCUCUUUUAGCAGGGAAGAAGCGAAAGUGACGGUACCUGCAGAAAAAGCACCGGCUAACUACGUGCCAGCAGCCGCGGUAAUACGUAGGGUGCAAGCGUUGUCCGGAAUUAUUGGGCGUAAAGAGCUCGUAGAUGGUUUGUCACGUCUGCUGUGAAAAUCCAAGGCUCAACCUUGGACUUGCAGUGGGUACGGGCAGGCUAGAGUGCGGUAGGGGAGAUGGGAAUUCCUGGUGUAGCGGUGGAAUGCGCAGAUAUCAGGAGGAACACCAAUGGCGAAGGCACAUCUCUGGGCCGUAACUGACGCUGAGGAGCGAAAGCGUGGGGAGCGAACAGGAUUAGAUACCCGUGUAGUC